UCACAGAAAUACAUGAUCCAUGGUGGUGGUAUGAACAAGGCGCGAGUUCCCGCAUCUUCCAAGCUCAACACUGCACUAAACUCCCAAAAUAAUAAAAAAAACAAAGAAAGCAAAGAAACAAAAAGAAACUAAACGAAAGGAAAACAAAAUAAAGAAAACGGUUGGGUUACCUCCCAACAAGUGCUUAAUUUAACGUCUAGAGCUCGACGAUACCUCAUGGUCUCAAUGAACAUCAAACGCAGCGGGCGUGACAGACCGCCUAACACGAACAGAGACAGAGGACUCAUGCGCAUCAGCUGCGUGAAAGACGACGCUUCCAUUGGGCAC
rnacentral:lncRNA from 1 species